rnacentral:rRNA from 1 species
GCAAGUAUCAGCACACCAGUGAGAAUGCCCUCUAACUCUUAUAGAUCAAAAGGAGCAAGCAUCAAGUACACACAGCCCUUACAGUAGCUCAUAACGCUUUGCUCAACCACACCCCCACGGGAUACAGCAGUGAUAAAAAUUAAGCAAUAAGCGAAAGCUUGACUAAGUUAUGUUAUUAUAAGGGUUGGUAAAUUUCGUGCCAGCAACCGCGGUCAUACGAUUAACCCAAAUUAAUAGUUAUCGGCGUAAAGCGUGUUUAAGACACCUAGACAAUAGAGUUAAACCCUUACUACGCUGUAAAAAGCCUUAGUAGGACCAUAAACCCUUCAACGAAAGUGACUCUAAUUUAUCUGACUACACGAUAGCUAGGACCCAAACUGGGAUUAGAUACCCCACUAUGCCUAGCCCUAAACUAAAACAGUUCACAAACAAAACUGUUCGCCAGAGUACUACUAGCAACAGCUUAAAACUCAAAGGACUUGGCGGUGCUUUACAUCCUUCUAGAGGAGCCUGUUCUAUAAUCGAUAAACCCCGAUAUACCUCACCACCCCUUGCUAAUACAGCCUAUAUACCGCCAUCUUCAGCAGACCCUAGUAAGGCACCACAGUGAGCACAAUAACAUACAUAAAGACGUUAGGUCAAGGUGUAGCUUAUGGGGUGGGAAGAAAUGGGCUACAUUUUCUAAUAAAGAGCAAAUACAAAAAACUUAAUGAAACAAUUUAAGACUAAGGUGGAUUUAGUAGUAAGCUAAAAAUAGAGAGUUUAGCUG